GGGGGGGGGGGGGGGGGGGGGGGGGGGGGGGGGGGGGGGGGGGGGGGGGGGGGGGGGGGGGGGGGGGGGGGAACACGGGGGGUGAAGCGGAGGAUAGGGGGGGCUCAGGGGGGUGCGCGGGGGCAGAGACUGCCGGGGAUGAAGGGGCAGAAGCACCCAGGGGUGCCGGGGGCGAGGCCGGGGAUGGCGGUGGCGAUGCCGAGGCAGGGACAGCCGGGGGCACCGGAGGGGGUACCGAGGAGGGCCCCGGGGGAGAAGCGGCACCAGCAGCAGCGGGCAACACCCGGCGCCGACAGGAGCCCACUUGGCUUCAGGACGAGGACGACGAGCUGUGGCCUGAGUUCCCUCCCUGCUCGUCCCCAGAGGGGGCCACCAGCCCCACGACCCCCACGACCCCCACGUCCCCUGUAUCCCCCACAUCCCCCACAUCCCCUAUGUCCCCAGCAGCCCCAAAGUCCCCCACAGCUGGCACCACCGAGGACGCGGGGGGCAGCAAGAGGGCUGCUCCAGCGGGGGGACCACGGGACAAGGCAGCCCCCGGCUCGGCAGGACAGAGGCUGAGGCUGGAGGGGGCCGGGGGACGGCCACGAGUGGGGUCCCGGGCACAGGGGCGCUCUGCCAUCCUGGAGAAAUUCGGAGGGUGAGGGGGGCCUGGCCCCAUGGGGGGCACGGGGGUGGGGGGCAGGAGGGGGGGGGGGGGGGGGGGGG
rnacentral:lncRNA from 12 species